UACGUAGGCAGCAAACGUUGUUCGGAAUUACUGGGCGUAAAGAGUGUGUAGGCGGUUUUGCAAGUUUGGUGUGAAAUCUCCCGGCUUAACUGGGAGGGUGCGCCGAAAACUGCAAGGCUCGAGUACUGGAGAGGAAAGCGGAAUUCCUGGUGUAGCGGUGAAAUGCGUAGAUAUCAGGAGGAACACCGGUGGUGUAGACGGCUUUCUGGACAGUCACUGACGCUGAGACACGAAAGCGUGGGGAGCAAAC
rnacentral:rRNA from 1 species